rnacentral:rRNA from 1 species
GAUGAACGCUGGCGGCGUGCCUAAUACAUGCAAGUCGAGCGAACGGACGAGAAGCUUGCUUCUCUGAUGUUAGCGGCGGACGGGUGAGUAACACGUGGAUAACCUACCUAUAAGACUGGGAUAACUUCGGGAAACCGGAGCUAAUACCGGAUAAUAUUUUGAACCGCAUGGUUCAAAAGUGGAAGACGGUCUUGCUGUCACUUAUAGAUGGAUCCGCGCUGCAUUAGCUAGUUGGUAAGGUAACGGCUUACCAAGGCAACGAUGCAUAGCCGACCUGAGAGGGUGAUCGGCUACACUGGAACUGAGACACGGUCCAGACUCCUACGGGAGGCAGCAGUAGGGAAUCUUCCGCAAUGGGCGAAAGCCUGACGGAGCAACGCCGCGUGAGUGAUGAAGGUCUUCGGAUCGUAAAACUCUGUUAUUAGGGAAGAACAUAUGUGUAAGUAACUGUGCACAUCUUGACGGUACCUAAUCAGAAAGCCACGGCUAACUACGUG